rnacentral:rRNA from 1 species
ACCCUCGCAACUGGUACGCGGCGCGGCCAAGCCGUUAAACCCCCAACUUCUGAAUGUG